AGAGUUUGAUCCUGGCUCAGGACGAACGCUUGCGGCGUGCCUAAUGUAUGCAAGUCGAGCGGGGAGCAAUCCCAGCGGCGAACGGUUGAGUAACACGUAGGCAACCUGCCGCGAAGUGGGGGACAACCCAUGGAAACGUGGGCUAAUACCGCAUGUGGCUGGAAGGAGCCUUCCUUCCAUGCUAAAGGAGCAAUCCGCUUCGCGAGGGGCCUGCGGCCUAUCAGCUUGUUGGUGAGGUAACGGCUCACCAAGGCGACGACGGGUAGCUGGUCUGAGAGGAUGAUCAGCCAGACAGGGACUGAGACACGGCCCAGACUCCUACGGGAGGCAGCAGUAGGGAAUCUUGCGCAAUGCGCGAAAGCGUGACGCAGCAACGCCGCGUGGGGGAAGAAGGCCUUCGGGUCGUAAACCCCUUUCAGGAGGGACGAAGCCCGGGCGGUGAAUAGCCGACCCGGGUGACGGUACCUCCAGAAGAAGCCCCGGCUAACUACGUGCCAGCAGCCGCGGUAAUACGUAGGGGGCUAGCGUUGUCCGGAAUCAUUGGGCGUAAAGAGCGCGUAGGCGGCCAGAUAAGUCCGGUGUGAAAGUCACAGGCUCAACCUGUGAAUGCCGCUGGAAACUGUCUGGCUAGAGUCCGGAAGGGGCGAGUGGAAUUCCUGGUGUAGCGGUGAAAUGCGCAGAUAUCAGGAGGAACACCAAUGGCGAAGGCAGCUCGCUGGGACGGUACUGACGCUGAGGCGCGAAAGCGUGGGGAGCAAACAGGAUUAGAUACCCCAGUAGUCC
rnacentral:rRNA from 1 species